rnacentral:miRNA from 1 species
AAAAGUACUUGUGGAUUUGCCAUCACCUUUACCUUUAAUGGCAAAACGGCAGUUACUUUUGC